rnacentral:rRNA from 1 species
CCUACGGGAGGCUGCAGUGGGGAAUAUUGGACAAUGGGCGAAAGCCUGAUCCAGCCAUGCCGCGUGUGUGAAGAAGGCCUUCGGGUCGUAAAGCACUUUCAGUGGGGAAGAAAGCCUUGGGGCUAAUACCCUCGAGGAAGGACAUCACCCACAGAAGAAGCACCGGCUAACUCCGUGCCAGCAGCCGCGGUAAUACGGAGGGUGCGAGCGUUAAUCGGAAUUACUGGGCGUAAAGCGCGCGUAGGCGGUCUGAUAAGCCGGUUGUGAAAGCCCCGGGCUCAACCUGGGAACGGCAUCCGGAACUGUCAGGCUAGAGUGCAGGAGAGGAAGGUAGAAUUCCCGGUGUAGCGGUGAAAUGCGUAGAGAUCGGGAGGAAUACCAGUGGCGAAGGCGGCCUUCUGGACUGACACUGACGCUGAGGUGCGAAAGCGUGGGUAGCAAACAGGAUUAGAUACCCCGGUAGUC